AUGAGUUAACGUCAGCCAGCAAGUCAUUGUAAUGUUAAUGAGCAUAAUGUGCUAAUACAAACUUUUGACUCAGUGGUUCAGUAUCUGCUUUUUAUUCAUGACCAGAGGUCCUGAACGAUUGAGGGUAAUAAAAUAACGUUUAAUUAACUUAUUGAUAAGCAAUAACCAGUAACCAGUUCAAAACCAGUCAUUCAAGGUCAUAAGUACAUUCAUGCAUUCUAUUAGCCAGACAGUCAGUUGCUUGAGACCAGCCGCAGGAGGUAUGGACUGCAUGGGUUCGGACGAGCUUGCUUUUUGGUCUGAAUGUGGACCAAGACCCAGGCGUUGACAAGCCCUACUAUGAUUAAUGUGUUUUGCAGGUGUUCUGAGUAAUACUAAAAAAUACCUAUGGCUAUAACAUUUGGCAUUUAGUUAUUGUCUUUCUUAUUACUCAGGGCCAAUUAACAGACAUCUUAAGCACAGCCCAAAAGCUGGUGUUGCUGUUGAGAAACAGUGCACUGGCAAAUGUCAUGCCAGUCAGUCAGGGCAGUACAGGAGAAGCUGCUGUUAGACAGGGAGCGCAGUCAGUGCCGGCAGUGAGACCUCAGCGCAAUGACUCUGGACAGUCUGUGAAACAAGAAAUGGCUCGGUCUUUUCCUGGAUUUUUCCGAAAGGAGGCAAGAGGCAAAAAGCGUUUUGCACCAUAUACACCAACACAACCUGGGAAGAGCUUUUUGGUGAACUUUUUUCUUCUUGAAAAGCAACAUGAAAAAACACCAAAUGGAGAAGAGGAACUGCAGCUUAUACUGGCUGGCCUUGGAAAACGUUCAUUAACCCUUAAUGAAAACAUCACACAUUCAGAGUUUUCAGAUUUGCUUUUGAGCACAUAUCCAAGACUGGCAAAUAUCUUUGGAGGCUGGUUGCUGCACAAGUCCACAAGUGGGGGUGGGCAGUAGAGAUUGGCUGUUAUCCCUCAAGAUUUAAAUGGAUACACCGGCCAGCAGCUAAAAGCAGUGAGUGGGAAUGGAAAAUAUACAAUGUACAUUGCUCCUUUACAAGAAGAACUGGAUACAAUUCCUUUACCACCAGAAGCAAAGGAAUUUGAGAAGAUGCCUAAAGCUCAGUGUACAACCUGCAAGAAAAUGGUUCCGCUUCAGAUUCUUCCAGGACACAUAAAGGAAUGCAAGAAACAACUUGUAGAUUUGUGUGAUUCUGCUGAAGAAGAGAAAGUAAAGCUGCAAGGGAGAAGAUGAAGAUGAAUGCUCAGCUGCCCUUUGCUACUAGAAAAGCAAGACAGCUGAGUGUCCUGUGUGCAGUAAUGCAUUUCAUCCUGAAAUCAUUGAGUUCCACGCAGCCAGUUGCGAACUUCAGAUGAUGAUGGCCAUGAGUCAAGUGAUCCAAUCAGUACCUUUCAAAGUUCUGAGGACAUCUUGAAUUGGAUCGGUUAUCAAGUUGAUGAGACAAACACAUUUUCCAUCUGUGUGUCGCGAACUGAUCUGUACAACGGAGAAUCAGAAUCAGAAUCAGAAUCAGAAUGAGCUUUAUUGCCAGUUAUUGUCAAGUGUUCAUUAGAUGGAUCGCCUGGGGGAAGAAACUGUUCCUGUGUCUGGCCGUUCUGGUGCUCAGUGCUCUGUAGCGUCAACCAGAUGGCAACAGUUCAAAAAGGGAGUGUGCUGGAUGUGAGGGGUCCAGAGUGAUUUUGCCAGCCCUUUUGCUCACUCUGGAUAAGUACAGUUCUUGAAUAGACGGGAGGGUUGUACCGAUGAUUCUCUCUGCAGUCCGGACUACCCUCUGUAGUCUUCUGAGGUCAGAUUUAGAAGCUGAGCUGAACCAG
ensembl:lncRNA